rnacentral:rRNA from 1 species
UACACCCCAGGUCAGG